AACGGAUGCGCCUCUUCCCGAUGGAUUCUGGGAAUCAGAGUUCGUUCCUGAAAAUGCGCAGGCGCAGUUCCAGGACUGUAGGGAUGUUUGCCUGUCAUUUUUUUUUGCAGCGGUUUUGGCUUCUCAAGACUUUGACCAAAAAGUGAGAAUCAAAGUGGCAAGAGAAUGGCUUCUGGGUGCCUAACAGCCUUGUCUCAUGUAAGUUAUUUUGUUCUGUCCCUCCUGAGAAGUAGUUUCAUUCCUAAAAGUAUGGACACAUUCCAUUCACUUUAACUCCUUCUUCUUCCAACAAAUCAUACUCAGGGACUUAAACAUCAAUUGUUUUUUCUUAGAAGACUUUGCUUCUUCUUAUGUCUGAUGCAGGGCUCCUAAAGUUCAUAUCUUUUUAAAAUUUAUUUUCUUUUUUUUUAAUCAACAAUUGAAUUUUUGAAUUCAAUAUUGAAACAAUUUGAAUUUAAAAACUGAAACAAUGUUUUCAAUUUUUUUUUCAAUCAACAAAAAUCUUUUCUCUCCCUCCCACUUUCACCUUCUGUUCCCCCUCCCCAUACUAUAGAAAAAGAAAAACAAGUCUUGUAAGAAACAUGCAUAGUCAAGCAAAACAAAUAACUGUAUUGUCCAGGUCCAACAAUUUGAGUCUCAUUUUGCAUAUUUAGUCCUUCACCUCUCUCUGAGGAGAUGGACAGCAUUCUUUAUCAUUAAUCCUCUGGAAUCAUGUUUAAGGUUGGAAUGUGUCUUAAGAAUCAUGUGGACAAAUAUGAUAUAUGAGUUAUAUGAGAUACAGAGAAGUGAUGUGUCUCAUUUAAACAAGCACUAAACAUUUAUUAAGUACCUAUUAUAUGCCAGGCAUUGUGCUAGGUGAACAAAAAGAGACAAAAGAUGAAGUCUUUGGUUUCAAGGAGCUCACAAUCUGGUGGGGGGGGAGAGGAUGACAACAAGCAAAUAACAAGCUGUAUUACAGUAUAAAUAGGAGAUAAUUAAAAUGGAAGACACUAGAAUCAAGAAGGGUUGGGGAAGGCUUCCAGUAGAAGGUAGAAUCUUAGGUGGGACUUAUUAAAGAAAGCCAGAAAGAUCAGUAGUUGGAGCAAGGAGAAAGAAUUCCAAACAUGGGGGACAGCCAGAGAAA
rnacentral:lncRNA from 1 species